rnacentral:rRNA from 1 species
GAUGAACGCUAGCGGGAGGCCUAACACAUGCAAGCCGCGGGGCAUGAUUCUUUCGGGGAUCGAAGACCGGUGCACGGGUGCGUAACGCGUAUUUAACCUACCCCAAUCACCGGGAUACCACUUCGUAAGGAGGCUUAAUACCGGAUAACACUAAUGUGGGCAUCUUCUCUGCUUGAAAGAUGUAUCGGAAUGGGAUAGACAUGCGUCAGAUUAGCUAGUUGGAGAGGUAACGGCUCACCACGGCGAUGAUCUGUAGGGGGCCUGAGAGGGUGACCCCCCACACUGGCACUGAGACACGGACCAGACGCCUACGGGAGGCAGCAGUGAGGAAUAUUGGACAAUGGGUGAGAGCCUGAUCCAGCCAUCCCGCGUGCAGGAAGACGGCCCUAUGGGUUGUAAACUGCUUUUGUAUGGGAAUAAACCACCUUACGCGUAGGGUGUUGAAGGUACCAUACGAAUAAGCACCGGCUAACUCCGUG